CUCUGAGACGUGAUACCGAGCCGCUUCAGGCGAAGUCAUUGAUCCUAUGCUGCCUAGAAAAGCCCAGCAGCGAGUUGACAUGGUGCCCGUACCCCAAACCAACACAGGUGGACAGGUAGAGCAUACCAAGGCGAGUGGGAUAACUAUGGUUAAGGAACUCGGCAAAUUGCCCCCGUAACUUCGGGAGAAGGAGGACCCCAGUAGCGUGAUGAGACUUGCUCUCUGAGCGUGAAGGGGUGGCACAAAAUUGAGGGAAGCGACUGUUUACCAAAAACACAGCAGCGUGCUAAGCCGUAAGGCGCUGUAUACGCUGUGACUCCUGCCCGGUGCUGGAAGGUUACGGGGAUGGGUUAGUCCUUCGGGACGAAGCUCUGAACCUAAGCCCCAGUAAACGGCGGCCGUAACUAUAACGGUCCUAAGGUAGCGAAAUUCCUUGUCGGGUAAGUUCCGACCUGCACGAAUGGAGUAACGACUUCCCUACUGUCUCAACCAUAGACCCAGCGAAAUUGAAGUGCGAGUAAAGAUGCUCGUUAGCUGCAGAAGGACGGAAAGACCCCGUGGACCUUUACUAUAACUUGAUGUUGUGUUUUGUCAUAUGUUGUGUAGGAUAGGUGGGAGACUUGGAAGCAUGGACGCUAGUCUGUGUGGAGUCAUCGUUGAAAUACCACCCUGCAUAUGGUGAGGCUCUAACCUAGACCCGUUAUCCGGGUUGGGGACAGCGUCAGGCGGGUAGUUUAACUGGGGCGGUUGCCUCCUAAAGAGUAACGGAGGCGCCCAAAGGUUCCCUCAGCCUGGUUGGCAAUCAGGCGUUGAGUGCAAUGGCAAAAGGGAGCUUGACUGCGAGACCUACAAGUCGAGCAGGAGCGAAGCUGGGCAUAGUGAUCCGGCGGUUGCGUGUGGAAGCGCCGUCGCUCAACGGAUAAAAGGUACCCCGGGGAUAACAGGCUAAUCUUGCCCAAGCGUCCAUAGCGACGGCAAGGUUUGGCACCACGAUGUCGGCUCAUCGCAUCCUGGGGCUGAAGCAGGUCCCAAGGGCUGGGCUGUUCGCCCAUUAAAGCGGUACGCGAGCUGGGUUCAGAACGUCGUGAGACAGUUCGGUCCCUAUCCUCUGCAGCCGGAGGUGAAUUGAGGAAAGCUGUCCCUAGUACGAGAGGACCGGGACGGACGCAGCUCUCGUGUGCCAGUUGUCCUGCCAAGGGCAUGGCUGGUUAGCGACCUGCGGAAAGGAUAACCGCUGAAAGCAUCUAAGCGGGAAGCCUCUUCCAAGAUGAAUUCACCCACAGGGUUAACCUGGUAAGGCCCGUGGUAGACCACCACGUUGAUAGGCCGGAAGUGUAAGCGUGGCAACACGUUCAGCUGACCGGUACUAAUCGGCCGAGGGCUUGAGCC
rnacentral:rRNA from 1 species